GUCCGGAUGAACUCAACUCAGAGCACUCUACCUGGAUUCUACUGAGAUCUCGUCCAAACUUUCAAUGCUUUGGUCUAAUUUUCAUGCAUUUGGAGCUUUUUAAAAUUUAUUUUCAUCCAGGGUUAUGGAUUUUCAUUAGUGUUUAUUGAAGAUGAAGUGGUCACUUCUGUUUUUCUCUUUGUUAUUUUUGGAUAGUUUCUAAGAUGGAGAGAGGCAGAGAAUCUUUUGCUCUGCCUCCUCUUCCUAGAAUUCUCUUCAAAGGCUUAAAAGUAGUUAUGAUGGGACCGAGGGAGAGAAAGAUGGAAUGCCGAAAAUUGUUGGUGAUAGAAAAUUAGAGUUUAAGAUUUAAGAGGUGAAAUUUUAGUUAGUGACAAAUUCAAAUAUGCUUAUCAUAUCAGAGGGAGAGUGGACAUGAAAAACAGUGGAGAUGAAAAGGGCAUCUCCCCUAUCACCCUCCUCCUGCCACUAGGGAGAUUAUGGAUUGCAGACAUUCUGCUUAAUGACUUCUCCCCAGGAGCCAUUUGAAGAAGGUCGGUCGGUAGCUAGUUCUUUGACCUGGGCUCUCAUUUUCUUCCUGGAACCUGUGCUUUCUUCAGGUCCUUGAAGACUCUCUGGAGUUGAAGGCGCCUGGGUGGCUCAGUCAGUUAAGCGUCUGCCUUCGUCUCAGGUCAUGGUCCCAGGGUCCUGGGAUCG